rnacentral:rRNA from 1 species
AUGGCCAGGGAUUGCUUCUCACGCGUGUACGGGCAGGCCAUCGCCAACACCGUCUGCAUCGGCGGGACGGCCCUCUUCGUCUACGUGCUCGUCAAGCUGGCGCGGGAGCCCCACCGGAGCAAGGGCUCCGUCGUCGUGGUCACGCUCUUCCUCCUCUUCUGGGCCUGCCUCGUCGCCUGUGUGUACAGGGCCUUCUGCGGCAGCCUCCUCCCGUGGUCCACGCUGCGCCGGUGCCUGGACGGAGAGCUCCUGCGGCACCUCCGCGCCGCGGGGCGGCUUCUCUGCCUGCCGUGCCGGUCCAGGCAACGGCGCCGACGCCGAGGCGGCAGUAGCAGCGGCGGCGGCGGCGGCGCUCUGCCGCAGUUUCUGGACCCAAUGCAGAGUGGCAUGCCCGUGCUGGCCCGGGAGCCACCGGUGCUUGGCGGCGCGCGGGCGGCGACGGCGCAUGACAUCCUGGCGUACGAGCAGCCGGAGGGCGGCGGCGGCGGCGCGUCGGAGUGCGCCGUCUGCCUCGGGGAGGUGGAGAAGGGGGACACGGUGAAGCGGCUGCCGGCGUGCCUGCACAUGUUCCACCAGCAGUGCAUCGACCCGUGGCUGCUCGAGCACGCGACGUGCCCGGUCUGCCGGUGCAUUGUCUUGGCGCCGUCGCCGUUGCCGUUGCCGGCCCAAAUGUUGAGCAGCAAAUCGAGCGCUCGGUGGCAACACAAGCAUAAGCAACCGGUCGCACAAGGUGUAAGUUUAUCUUUCUGGUUGUAUCACAGUUUAUUUUUGUCUCCGAUCAUGGACAACGAAAUGAACUGUAGGAGUACUUAUAAUCAUCAACUUAUUCUUGCCACUGUUGCUUUUGACCAACUUUUCCUUUUUGGGGUGUUCGAUACAUGCUUUUUCCGGAAACAACGUAUUAUCUCCCUAUGGCAUUUUCUCCAACAUCUUGCAUGUGUUCACCCAACGGCGACAAAGGAUGUUAGCACGCCCCUGCCCGUGCCACUGUACAUGUCGCCUCGCCUUUGCUUCAUGGCGUUGUCGCGCCUAGAUGGGUUGCCGGACGGCGGCGAGUGCAGACUGAUGUGCACCCACGUCGUCGUCACUGGCAGGAGGUGCUUCUUUCGCUGCUCGCCUCCCUCGCUGCCUUUCGUGCCCUCCGCAAGCCAUGUGCGCUCCAUCUCUUUUACACCGCGCCCUCGACGGCCUCGCGCCAUGCGCAAAACUGAGGGCUGCGUCAUUGUCGCACGCCUCUCUUCCUCAGCAAUGGUGCUCAGGCAGAGGCCACUAUGUGCACUACCAAUGCUCUUGUGCGGGGCCGCUUCAAGAGGCCCAUCUUCGGCGGCAACGAUGAUGGCUGGCUCUGGACGCAGGGUAAGGCUUGCACCACGCCCAAGGAAGGAGUUGGCUGACCGGCACCUGUCCACCAUAGAGCACUGGGAAGGGCUUUACACCCCCUGCCCCACCAUUCCCAUCUUCAUGCCUAAUGGUUGCAUCUGUGUUGCUCUAACGUGA